rfam:Gossypium hirsutum cultivar TM-1 unplaced genomic scaffold scaffold1263.1, whole genome shotgun sequence
UGUUGAAAUUUUUAUCCAUUUGUACUGUUAAAAAUUAGUGUCGUUAAUAGAAUAACCAAACAAUGACAUUGGCAUGUCACGUGUAUCUCAUACUGAUGCACAGCGACUAGUUUUUAACAAUAAAAAUAGAUGGAAUUUCUAAUA